AUGUCGCUUGCUCUCCCGCUAGCCUCUGCCUGCUCUGGUCUCGAAGUUGAUGACACCCUGAUGCAAAGCUUCCACAAUCAUCCGCUCCGUCUCAGCAGGAGGAGAGCAAUGGAAAUAACACCCCGUCGUGGUCCUGGUGCUUCUCUCCGUGGGUUCGCUUGCUCACCUCGGCGUUUGCGGCUUCUACAGGAAGGACUGAGCAGCCAUUGUGCUGGAGUAGACUGUGUGACAGGUUUUUUCCUCUCUCUCCUACCCGUGAUUGGUUUCUUUGGUGAAGAAAGCAUCACUGUCUUUCAAUACAUCAUGGAUGCUCAACCUGUAUGUCUACAUGGUACAAGAAUGAAGAUUAACCAUUCAAUCUAUUGA
rnacentral:rRNA from 1 species